rnacentral:lncRNA from 1 species
UAUAGCUCGAUCUUGUGAGAAACUUUAUAUUGGUCAGUCGUUUUAAAGAGUUUGAAAUAACAAGUUGCCUUAUAUUUGAGAAUGAAAUAACAUGUAGUUUUAUAUUGGAAUUUAUAACUGUGAAUAUUAUCUAUACAUGUACUGUUACAAGAUAAUAAAGAUGUGAACAUUAAGUAGACUUAGUUAUACGUGCAGUUCUAACAGUGACUUUAUGAAGAAAGAUAUGCGAGUGCUAGUUCCCUAUAUAUAUAUAACGGGCAAGAUGGAUUUAUCGAUCCCGGAGGCAUAUUCCCGAAAUAAUGACAUGUAAUUCCAAAUCACACAAACACACACAAUAAAGCCCCGU